rnacentral:misc_RNA from 1 species
AACAUGGUGAAUAUGUGUUUCUAGAGUUUUGUUUUGAAAUUAGCAUGCUUGGAUGUUUAGAUAAUUAUUAUUGCAUUUCCGUAUUAGGUACAUCAAUUGUUAAGCGUUACUGUUACUCUAAGGCUAGGGAAGUAUGAAGGGUUUUCGGGUUUUGAGAUAUGGAGAGAUUUAGACUUUAGAUAAGCAUUUGUUUAAGCUUCCCAAGUAUGAAAUUUGGAAAGCUAGCAAUGAAAAAGAGAGGGAGGGGGAACUGAGAUAUUGAAGUAAUGUCAUGGUGUUAUAAAGGGAAUUCCAUUUAGUGGUAUGACCAUUAUAUAUUAGCCUGUUUGGGUUGGAGGGUUAUAGCUACAGAAAUGAGAAAUUUCCUUCUCAUUGAAUAUCACUUUAUGUACUGGAAUUUACCUUAUAUAUUAUUCUGUAUGUGCUUUCUCACUCUAUUAUAUGUGUGUAUCUUUGUGUAUUAGAUUUGCUUUUUCCACCUCCUUUCCUAUGAUAUUCAUG